rnacentral:rRNA from 1 species
CAGCCGCCGCGGUAAUACGAAGGGGGCUAGCGUUGCUCGGAAUGACUGGGCGUAAAGGGCGCGUAGGCGGAUUGUUUAGCUAGGCGUGAAAUUCCUGGGCUUAACCUGGGGACUGCGCUUAAUACAGGCAGUCUAGAGUGAGGAAGAGGGUUGUGGAAUUCCCAGUGUAGAGGUGAAAUUCGUAGAUAUUGGGAAGAACACCGGUGGCGAAGGCGGCAACCUGGUCCUUGACUGACGCUGAGGCGCGAAAGCGUGGGGAGCAAACAGGAUUAGAUACCCCAGUAGUCCCUGUCUCUUAUAC